rnacentral:rRNA from 1 species
AUGGCUCCUACCGAGGCUGAGGCUGAUGUAGAGGAGGGAGAAGAGAAGAAGAAGAGGGAAAGGAAAGCAGCCGGAGCUGCUUUCACGUGGAUUCAAAAUAACUUUGCGACGUGCCCUCCGGAUACCACUGAUGAUGUGAUCCAGACACAUGCUCGUGUGUAUAUGUGGUACGUUGUGUCGAGGACUUCGUUUCCUGACUCCACUGGCAAGAACGCUCCAUGGAUGUGGCUGAAGGCGUUGACCGUCUUCGAUAGCAAAUGGAGCUGGGGUUCAGCGACUCUUGCCUACUUGUACCGAUAG